GUGGGGAAUAUUGCACAAUGGGCGCAAGCCUGAUGCAGCAACGCCGCGUGAGGGAUGACGGCCUUCGGGUUGUAAACCUCUUUUAGUAGGGAAGAAGCGAAAGUGACGGUACCUGCAGAAAAAGCACCGGCUAACUACGUGCCAGCAGCCGCGGUAAUACGUAGGGUGCAAGCGUUGUCCGGAAUUAUUGGGCGUAAAGAGCUCGUAGGCGGCUUGUCGCGUCUGCUGUUACAUCCCGGGGCUCAACCCCGGGCCUGCAGUUGGUACGGGCAGGCUAGAGUGCGGUAGGGGAGAUUGGAAUUCCUGGUGUAGCGGUGGAAUGCGCAGAUAUCAGGAGGAACACCGAUGGCGAAGGCAGAUCUCUGGGCCGCUACUGACGCUGAGGAGCGAAAGCAUGGGGAGCGAACAGGAUUAGAAACCCCGGUAGUCC
rnacentral:rRNA from 1 species